AGAGGGCGGAAAGAUGGAGAAAUAGUCAGGCAUUUCCUUCCCCCUCUCUUCGGUGGAGGAAACAAGCACGUCAAGGAGACUAACCUGUCGGUCGCUGCUAGCUGCUCUUAACUCGACGCCCCAAACGCUUGUGUCUGCCUCGGAGCUUAUCAGCGCCUCCCAGACAGCGAUUUGAGUGCGUGGAGAGUGCAGAGGAGCGCUGACAAGAGAAGGAAGAGCAGGGAGGUGAGGAGGUGAGUUUACCAAGAUGAAACAGACUCGACACACGGGGGGUCAAACCAAGAGGUGAUUUUCUUUUUAAUUUAAUUUAAUUUUUAUUGCUGAGGUGUAGCGAUGCUAGCUGCAGCUCCAACUGACGGUAGGCUACUGUCAUUUUAUUUUCUUCAAGGUGGCAAUUGAAGUCACCCCCUUAGAAACAUCAUCGCCAACGCGUCAUCACAGAAAACAUACAAUUAUACUUUCAGUAGAGGUCCUUUUUUGAUAUAAACCUGACAUUUCCUUCCUCCUUCUCUGGGUGUGUGAGCUGCAAUCUUUGGUGGGUUAGUUGGGAGGCGAUAAAGGCACAGCUUUAAUUUCCCCUUCCUCUCACCCGACAAUCCUCAUCCAUCUGCUGCUUUCCUUUUGCAACCUACUGGGGUUUAAAUCUACUUGACUUUUCCUUGGAGGACUUUUCUUUCCACAGGAGCAUCAAGUACCUCUACAGGUCUGCAGUCGGUGUUCCAUGGUUCCUGCAAGCCUGCAAGCCAACAUGCAAAGGCUCCAUCACAUGUUCUCAAGGGGCUACAGGUCUGGAGAUGACCUUCCUCUCAAAGUUCCUUUUCAUCUUUCAUCGCCUCUCCUAGCCAUGACGUUUAUUAAUCAUCCUCAGAAAAACCUCAGUAGUGGCUCACAGGGCGUGGGUUGACAAAACUGAAUGAAUGGAGGUCCCGGUGUAAGGCAAACAGCAGGCCUUGUCAUUAGAGAAAGGUUAGAGUGAGAGAAACAGGGCAGAAUGUCAGGUCAGAGUGCUCUCGGUCAUAUACAGUCUCCCGUUGAGACUCCCAUCAUCAGAGAAGGCUUCCAUAUUUCCACAUCAGCUGCCAUCAAAGACUUACUCUUGUUUCUGCUCCGUGUCUGCGAUUGAGGGGUGAGAAGGAGCUAGAAGAUCAAUGAAAAAAAGCAGCUGGAAAUGUUAGACUGUGCAGACUUACUGUUAAAAGUCAAAUGAAAUCAAGUCAAAUCUGUAAAGCUCUCUUUGCAAGUAGUGUCACAAAGGGCUUAAGAAAUGCCCACAGGUGUCAAUACCCAAGAUCUAACUUCAAAAAAAAAAAAUCUUAAGACUAAGGCCGAAUCCCAAUAC